UAGGGAAUCUUCCACAAUGGACGCAAGUCUGAUGGAGCAACGCCGCGUGAGUGAAGAAGGCUUUCGGGUCGUAAAACUCUGUUAUUGAAGAAGAACGUGCGUGACAGUAACUGGUCAUGCAGUGACGGUAUUCAAUCAGAAAGUCACGGCUAACUACGUGCCAGCAGCCGCGGUAAUACGUAGGUGGCAAGCGUUGUCCGGAUUUAUUGGGCGUAAAGCGAGUGCAGGCGGUCUUUUAAGUCUGAUGUGAAAGCCUUCGGCUUAACCGAAGAAGGGCAUCGGAAACUGGGAGACUUGAGUGCAGAAGAGGAGAGUGGAACUCCAUGUGUAGCGGUGAAAUGCGUAGAUAUAUGGAAGAACACCAGUGGCGAAGGCGGCUCUCUGGUCUGUAACUGACGCUGAGGCUCGAAAGCGUGGGUAGCAAACAGGAUUAGA
rnacentral:rRNA from 1 species